rnacentral:rRNA from 1 species
CCUACGGGAGGCAGCAGUGGGGAAUCUUGCGCAAUGGGCGAAAGCCUGACGCAGCAACGCCGCGUGCGGGAAGAAGGCUUUCGGGCUGUAAACCGCUUUCAGCAGGAACGAAAAUGACGGUACCUGCAGAAGAAGGAGCGGCCAACUAUGUGCCAGCAGCCGCGGUGAUACAUAGGCUUCAAGCGUUGUCCGGAUUUAUUGGGCGUAAAGAGUUCGUAGGCGGUCGAGUAAGUCGGGUGUGAAAAUUCUGGGCUCAACCCAGAGACGCCACCCGAUACUGCUUGACUUGAGUUCGAUAGGGGAGUGGGGAAUUCCUAGUGUAGCGGUGAAAUGCGCAGAUAUUAGGAGGAACACCGGUGGCGAAGGCGCCACUCUGGAUCGAUACUGACGCUGAGGAACGAAAGCAUGGGUAGCAAACAGGAUUAGAUACCCUGGUAGUCCAUGCCGUAAACGGUGGGCACUAGGUGUGGGUUUCUAUUAACGAAAUCCGCGCCGUCGCUAACGCAUUAAGUGCCCCGCCUGGGGAGUACGGUCGCAAGCUAAACUCAAAUGAAUUGACGGCUUGAGACGUUGCGAGCGCGACGAGGGAGAGG